UCAAGUUAUUAAGGGUGCAGGGCGGAUGCCUUGGCACUAGGAGCCGAUGAAGGACGUGAUAAGCUGCGAUAAGCUUCGGGGAGUUGCACGUAAACUUUGAUCCGAAGAUUUCCGAAUGAGGAAACUCACUUAGAGUAAUGUCUAAGUAUCAUUAAGUGAAUACAUAGCUUAAUGAGGGGAACUCAGGGAACUGAAACAUCUAAGUACCUGAAGGAAGAGAAAGAAAUUCGAUUCCGUAAGUAGCGGCGAGCGAACGCGGAUUAGCCCAAACCAAUAAAGUUUUCUUUGUUGGGGUUGCGGACAUAUCAUAACGAAGAGGUAUCGUAAUUGAAGAGGUUUGGAAAGACCCACCACAGAAGGUAAUAGUCCUGUAUGUUAAACGAGAAGACUUCAGAUAUGAUCCAGAGUACCACGGGACACGUGAAACCCUGUGGGAAGCAGGAGGGACCACCCUCCAAGGCUAAAUACUACCUAGUGACCGAUAGCGUAUAGUACCGUGAGGGAAAGGUGAAAAGAACCCCGGGAGGGGAGUGAAAUAGAACCUGAAACCCUGCACUUACAAGCUGUGGAAGCACAUUUCUUGUGUGACCGCGUACUUUUUGUAGAACGGGCCAACGAGUUACGUUAAGUAGCAAGGUUAAGCACUUAAGGUGCGGAGCCGUAGCGAAAGCGAGUUUUAACUGAGCGUUCAGUUACUUGACGUAGACCCGAAACCGGGCGACCUACCCAUGAGCAGGAUGAAGCGAAAGUAAAAUUUCGUGGAGGUCCGAACCCACGAGCGUUGAAAAGCUCGGGGAUGACUUGUGGGUAGCGGUGAAAUUCCAAUCGAGCCCGGAGAUAGCUGGUUCUCCCCGAAAUAGCUUUAGGGCUAGCCUCAAGGUGAGAGAUACGGAGGUAGAGCACUGAAUGUCCUAGGGGGUAUUGCACCUACCGAAGACUAUCAAACUCCGAAUGCCGUCAUCUUAUACUUGGGAGUCAGACUGUGGGUGAUAAGAUUCAUAGUCGAAAGGGCAACAGCCCAGAUCGUCAGCUAAGGUCCCUAAAUGUAAGUUAAGUGGUAAAGGAUGUGGGAUUGCACAGACAACCAGGAUGUUGGCUUAGAAGCAGCCACUCAUUCAAAGAGUGCGUAAUAGCUCACUGGUCGAGUGAUCCUGCGCCGAAGAUUUCCGGGGCUAAAACUUACUACCGAAGCUACGGCAUCAGUAAUGAUGGGUAGGGGAGCUUCCCAUACGGGUUGAAGCAUGACCGUAAGGACAUGUGGACAGUAUGGGAGUGAGAAUGUUGGCAUGAGUAGCGAGAUGUGGGUGAGAAUCCCACAGGCCGUAAACCCAAGGUUUCCAGGGGAAGGUUCGUCCGCCCUGGGUUAGUCGGGACCUAAGCUGAGGCUGAAAGGCGUAGGUGAUGGACAACAGGUUGAUAUUCCUGUACUACCGAUAACCGUUUGAGAGAAGGGAUGACACAGUAGGAUAAGCUAAGCACACUGUUGGUUAUGUGUGCCCAAGCAUUGAGGCAGUCAAAGUAGGCAAAUCCGCUUUGAUAAUGCUGGGAUGUGAUGGGGAGCGAAAUUUAGUAGCGAAGUAGCUGAUUUCACACUGUCAAGAAAAGUCUCUAUCGAGGUUAAAGGUACCCGUACCGCAAACCGACACAGGUGGGUGAGGAGAGUAUCCUAAGGCCAGCGAGAGAACUGUUGUUAAGGAACUCGGCAAAAUGACCCCGUAACUUAGGGAUAAGGGGUGCCACCAUCAGGUGGCCGCAGAGAAUAGGCCCAAGCGACUGUUUACCAAAAACAUAGGUUUCUGCUAAGUCGCAAGACGAUGUAUAGGAGCUGACGCCUGCCCGGUGCUGGAAGGUUAAGGGGAUCUGUUAGAGCAAUCGAAGCAGUGAACUUAAGCCCCAGUAAACGGCGGCCGUAACUAUAACGGUCCUAAGGUAGCGAAAUUCCUUGUCGGGUAAGUUCCGACCCGCACGAAAGGCGUAACGAUUUGGGCACUGUCUCAACAACAGACUCGGUGAAAUUGUAAUUCCGGUGAAGAUGCCGGAUACCUGCGACAGGACGGAAAGACCCCAUGGAGCUUUACUGUAGCUUGACAUUGGGUCUUGGUACUACAUGUACAGGAUAGGUGGGAGGCUUUGAAACCAGGACGCCAGUUUUGGCGGAGCCAUCCUUGGGAUACCACCCUUGUAGUACUGGGACUCUAACCAUAGGCCAUGAAUCUGGUCUUGGGACACUGUCAGGUGGGCAGUUUGACUGGGGCGGUCGCCUCCCAAAAGGUAACGGAGGCGCUCAAAGGUUCUCUCAGUACGGUCGGAAAUCGUACGUAGAGUGUAAAGGCAAAAGAGAGCUUGAUUGCAAGACAUACAGGUCGAGCAAGGAUGAAAAUCGGACUUAGUGAUCCGGUGGUUCUGCGUGGAAGGGCCAUCGCUCAACGGAUAAAAGCUACCCUGGGGAUAACAGGCUUAUCUCCCCCAAGAGUCCACAUCGACGGGGAGGUUUGGCACCUCGAUGUCGGCUCAUCACAUCCUGGGGCUGUAGUAGGUCCCAAGGGUUGGGCUGUUCGCCCAUUAAAGUGGUACGCGAGCUGGGUUCAGAACGUCGUGAGACAGUUCGGUCCCUAUCCGUCGCAGGCGUAGGAAAUUUGAGAAGACCUGUCCUUAGUACGAGAGGACCGGGAUGGACGUACCUCUGGUGUACCAGUUGUUCUGCCAAGGGCAUGGCUGGGUAGCUAUGUACGGAAUGGAUAAGCGCUGAAAGCAUCUAAGCGCGAAGCCAACUUCAAGAUAAGAUUUCCCACCGCAAGGGUAAGACCCCAGAAAGACUAUCUGGUUGAUAGGUCGAAGGUGUAAGUGCAGCAAUGUAUUUAGCUUAUCGAUACUAAUAGGUCGAGGACUUGACCAA
rnacentral:rRNA from 1 species